CACAGCUGCGGCUAAUAAAAUCAAGCUAAUAAUGGCUCCGUUUGAUCCAGGUGUCCCAGGUGGAGCACUAAAAUGACAAUGUAAUCUUAAUGUGAGAGGGAAAAACAACAAAACUGUUAAUUAUUAAUGCUCAAGCGAAUGCUUAAUCAAACAUAUUAAUAAUUUUAUUAGCUGCAGCUGCGUUUUACCAAUUGUAGGAUUCGAAUGGAGAGCGCUUAGUGGAACACAGAGCAGGAGAUGCACAGAGGAGGAGUGACAAGGGCAGACUGCUGCUGCCGACGGGAAAGUACUCAUGCUACAAAGAAGUGUGGGGAAGAGACACCAGCUGCAAGUUUUUU